rnacentral:rRNA from 1 species
AUGGCUCAGGAUGAACGCUAGCGACAGGCUAACACAUGCAAGUCGAGGGGCAGCACGGGAGUAGCAAUACAACUGGUGGCGACCGGCGCACGGGUGAGUAACGCGUAUGCAACCUACCUAUCAGAGGGGAAUAACCCGGCGAAAGUCGGACUAAUACCGCAUAAAACAGGGGGCACCGCAUGGUGAUAUUUGUUAAAGAGAUUCGCUGAUAGAUGGGCAUGCGUUCCAUUAGGUAGUUGGUGAGGUAACGGCUCACCAAGCCGACGAUGGAUAGGGGAACUGAGAGGUUGGUCCCCCACACUGGUACUGAGACACGGACCAGACUCCUACGGGAGGCAGCAGUGAGGAAUAUUGGUCAAUGGGCGGGAGCCUGAACCAGCCAAGUCGCGUGAAGGAAAGAAGGAUCUAUGGUUCGUAAACUUCUUUUGCAGGGGAAUAAAGUGCAGGACGUGUCCUGUUUUGUAUGUACCCUGAGAAUAAGGAUCGGCUAACUCCGUGCCAGCAGCAGC